rnacentral:rRNA from 1 species
GACAGAGGGUGCAAACGUUGUUCGGAAUUACUGGGCGUAAAGCGUGUGUAGGCGGCUACAUAAGUCGGAUGUGAAAGCCCCGGGCUCAACCCGGGAAGUGCACUCGAUACUGCGUAGCUUGAGUCUCGGAGAGGUUGGUGGAAUUCUCGGUGUAGAGGUGAAAUUCGUAGAUAUUCGCAAGAACACCAGUGGCGAAGGCGGCUCACUGGCCCGGUACUGACGCUGAGGUGCGAAAGCGUGGGGAGCAAACAGG